AUAAUUUCCCAGCAUCACAUAUACUACAACUGGGACGAUACAGAGAUUAGCAUGGCCCCUGCACGAGGAUUACACACAAAUUCGUGAAGCGUUCCAUAUUUUA
ensembl:snRNA U6 U6 spliceosomal RNA